rnacentral:rRNA from 1 species
UACAGAGGUCUCAAGCGUUGUUCGGAUUCAUUGGGCGUAAAGGGUGCGUAGGUGGCGGGGUAAGUCAGGUGUGAAAUCUCGGGGCUCAACCCCGAAACUGCAUUUGAUACUGCCUUGCUCGAGUACUGGAGAGGAGAUUGGAAUUUACGGUGUAGCAGUGAAAUGCGUAGAUAUCGUAAGGAAGACCAGUGGCGAAGGCGAAUCUCUGGACAGUUACUGACACUGAGGCACGAAGGCCAGGGGAGCAAGCGGG